GGAGAAUUACUCAAGAGGCUGAAGAGGACGGUUUGCUAAAUCGUUAGACCGAGAAGUCGGUGCAUGGGUUCGAAUCCUAUAUUCUCCU
rnacentral:tRNA from 1 species